rnacentral:rRNA from 1 species
UACGAAGGGUGCAAGCGUUAAUCGGAAUUACUGGGCGUAAAGCGUGCGCAGGCGGUUUGCUAAGACCGAUGUGAAAUCCCCGGGCUUAACCUGGGAACUGCAUUUGUGACUGCAUGGCUGGAGUGCGGCAGAGGGGGAUGGAAUUCCGCGUGUAGCAGUGAAAUGCGUAGAUAUGCGGAGGAACACCGAUGGCGAAGGCAAUCCCCUGGGCCUGCACUGACGCUCAUGCACGAAAGCGUGGGGAGCGAAACAAGG